UUUCUGGUUGAUCCCGCCAGACCUGACUGCUAUCGGAUUGAUACUAAGCCAUGCGAGUCAUUGUAGCAAUACAAGGCAUACGGCUCAGUAACGCGUAGUCAACCUAACCUAUGGACGGGAAUAACCUCGGGAAACUGAGAAUAAUGCCCGAUAGAACAUUAUACCUGGAAUGGUUUAUGUUCCAAAUGAUUUAUCGCCGUAGGAUGGGACUGCGGCCUAUCAGUUUGUUGGUGAGGUAAUGGCCCACCAAGACUAUUACAGGUACGGGCUCUGAGAGGAGUAGCCCGGAGAUGGGUACUGAGACACGGACCCAGGCCCUAUGGGGCGCAGCAGGCGAGAAAACUUUGCAAUGUGCGAAAGCACGACAAGGUUAAUCCGAGUGAUUUCUGCUAAAGAAAUCUUUUGUUAGUCCUAGAAACACUAACGAAUAAGGGGUGGGCAAGUUCUGGUGUCAGCCGCCGCGGUAAAACCAGCACCUCAAGUGGUCAGGAUGAUUAUUGGGCCUAAAGCAUCCGUAGCCGGCUCUGUAAGUUUUCGGUUAAAUCUGUACGCUUAACGUACAGGCCGCCGGGAAUACUGCAAAGCUAGGGAGUGGGAGAAGUAGACGGUACUCGGUAGGAAGUGGUAAAAUGCUUUGAUCUAUCGAUGACCACCUGUGGCGAAGGCGGUCUACUAGAACACGUCCGACGGUGAGGGAUGAAAGCUGGGGGAGCAAACCGGAUUAGAUACCCGGGUAGUCCCAGCUGUAAACUAUGCAAACUCAGUGAUGCAUUGGCUUGUGGCCAAUGCAGUGCUGCAGGGAAGCCGUUAAGUUUGCCGCCUGGGAAGUACGUACGCAAGUAUGAAACUUAAAGGAAUUGGCGGGGGAGCACCACAAGGGGUGAAGCCUGCGGUUCAAU
rnacentral:rRNA from 1 species